CAUUGUUACAGUUCUUUUAGAAUCCGCCUAGCAGAUUUUCUGGCUUUUCCCGGAAAAUCCCC
ensembl:snRNA U7 U7 small nuclear RNA